rnacentral:rRNA from 1 species
GACGAACGCUGGCGGCGUGCUUAACACAUGCAAGUCGAACGAGGUCCAGCCGAGCCUUCGGGCAAAGCGAAGACCUAGUGGCGAACGGGUGCGUAACACGUGAGGAACCUGUCCCGGACUUGGGAAUAACAGUCGGAAACGGCUGCUAAUACCGAAUAUCUCCGUAGCGUCGCAUGGCGCAUCGAAGAAAGCUUUUGCGGUCUGGGAGGGCCUCGCGGCCUAUCAGCUUGUUGGCGAGGUAACGGCUCACCAAGGCAUCGACGGGUAGCUGGUCUGAGAGGAUGAUCAGCCACACUGGGACUGAGACACGGCCCAGACUCCUACGGGAGGCAGCAGUGGGGAAUAUUGCACAAUGGGCGAAAGCCUGAUGCAGCAACGCCGCGUGCGGGAAGAAGGCCUUAGGGUUGUAAACCGCUUUCAGCAGGGAAGAAACUGACGGUACCUGCAGAAGAAGGUGCGGCCAACUACGUGCCAGCCGCCGCAGUAACAC